AAAUUACAUAAACAAAAUUAUUCGCCAGAGUACUACUAGCAACAGCUUAAAACUCAAAGGACUUGGCGGUGCUUUAUAUCCUUCUAGAGGAGCCUGUUCUAUAAUCGAUAAACCCCGAUAAACCUCACCAAUUCUUGCUAAUACAGUCUAUAUACCGCCAUCUUCAGCAAACCCUAAAAAGGAAAAAAAGUAAGCGUAAUUAUGAUACAUAAAAACGUUAGGUCAAGGUGUAACCUAUGAAAUGGGAAGAAAUGGGCUACAUUCUCUACACCAAGAGAAUCAAGCACGAAAGUUAUUAUGAAACCAAUAACCAAAGGAGGAUUUAGCAGUAAACUAAGAAUAGAGUGCUUAGUUGAAUUAGGCCAUGAAGCACGCACACCCCGCCCGCC
rnacentral:rRNA from 1 species